rnacentral:lncRNA from 1 species
UUUACAUCUUAGGAAUCCGAGCUUUGGAGGUGGCUCAAGAUAUGAUAUUGGGAAAUAGUUAGAAUUCAUGGUUAUUUUUACCUACACAGAUGUUGAAUUUUACUAAUGUCAGAUUGGCCGUGGACCGUGCCCAACACUUAUAAAGGAACACAUACACUGGCAGAAGUGCUUAGCAUUUGAAGUGGGAGUUUGAGGCAGAAAAAGGAGGAUUUAGAUAAUAUUGCAGUAUCCCAGAUGAGAAGAUUAAGGGUCUAAACAUUUCGUUGUUGGCCUUGUAAUGAGUGGUCUAAUUUAUCAACUGUCUCAUCUAAGGAUAAUCAUUUUAAGGACACUGUGUGCUUCUGGCUUGGCAGAGGGAGCGACUGUGAACUUGGGAGCGCAUGUCUACUGCUUUGACUUGAGUCUGGUUUCCAAUGUCUCAUGUGUUCAAAUUUAAGCCCUCAAAGGAAGGCUUUAAGUGGUCAGGGAUUUAAUCCAACUAUGGUAUUUAAAGGUGGAGCCUUUGAAAAGGAUUAGGACAAAUAAACUCCUCAAGAUUGAAUUGUGGUGGCUUUCUAAACAAAAAAAAAAAAGGUAGGAAAAGAGAUCAGAGAACACACAU